ensembl:snRNA U6 U6 spliceosomal RNA
GUGCUUUAGCAGCACACAUGCUAAAAACUGGAACCAUGCAGAGAAGAUUAGCAUAGCCCCUGUACAAGAUGACCUGCAAAUCGGUGAGGAAUUCCAGGGGUUU